GAGUUUUUUGUUCUUUUUUUUUUUGUGUUAGAUAUUUUCGCCAUAUGGUUACAUUGAAGAUAUUUUCAUUGUGCGUGAUGAAAUGAAGCAAAGUCGUGGAUGCGGCUUUGUUAGAUUUUCUCAGGUGGACAUGGCAAUAGCAGCAAUCAAAGCAUUAAAUGGAACCUAUACUAUGAGGGGUUGUGAUCAUCCACUAGCUGUUCGUUUUGCAGAACCCAAGAAACCUAGAUCUGGAGACUCAAGGUUCUGCUUCUGUACAUCUUAUAUUUG